rnacentral:lncRNA from 1 species
UCAUGCUAAAUCAAACUGACGGAGAAACUGGACAUCAGCUUAGCCAGGAUGCCCAAAUUAAUACUACUGAAACAAAAGUGCAUUUCUAACGUCACCAGUGGUUUAAGUGGACACACAUCAAAUGCAAACAGAAUGGACAGGAGAGAAUCGAAUCAUCACUUGAAUGAAGACAGUCUGUGAGCAGUGGAACUCAUAAAAGGUGCAUAAGAACCAAGUUGGAGAAAAACUGGCUUUGGAAACACUAGCAGAGGGAGGAAUGAUAAGAGCUUGUAGCUGAAUGGAUUCCCG